AAAUAAAUUUUUCGUUAAAACAAAACAUCAUUAUUCGACAAAAGGGUUUAUUCCAAGUUUAUUUCAAAAUAUAAAUAAUAAAUCUCUAGGAUCUUCAACAGUGGCAGUGUGUACGUGUCACGCCGGCGCCUUUCCACGGUCAUCACUAGUACCUAAAAAACAUAAACAACUAGUAAGCAUAAAUGCUUAGUGAGUUCCCCAGUAUACGACUUACCCACAUACGCCUUCCGGCCCGGAUCUUUCGAUCCACAUAACAUUGCCUUCCGGCCCGGAUCUUUCGAUCCACAUAACAUUGCCUUCCGGCCCGGACCUUUCGGUCCACAUAAUAUAUAUCGCAUAUAAGCACACAUCACAUAUAAAGCAUCUACCUCUCUUGACAUAGCAUGAAUAUAACACACACGACCUUCCGGUCUAACAGUCAAACCCUUCCGGGUGAAGUAUAGUGAGAAGACUCACCUCGUAGUACGCAGGCUAUAACCUCUUCGAGCUACUCGCACACAAUCCGCUAGUCCGCAGGUUCCCUAUAAUACCACAGCCCUAGUUAAUGAUCUUAUCAAACAAGACAACUGACCCCUCUAAGAUAUAUACAGGUCAACGGUCAAUCUUGACCGGACUCGUCGAGUGCAAAGGGUAACUCGACGAGUAUAGACAUCCUGACACCACUCGCCGAGUCUGAAGAACGACUCGACGAGUUCCAGUAGAUCUUCAAGCUACUCGCCGAGUCUGAAGAACAACUCGACGAGUCCUAGUGAACCUUCAAGCUACUCGCCGAGUCUGAAGAACAACUCGGCGAGUUCUAGUGAAUCUUCAAGCUACUCGCCGAGUCUGAUCAUUGGACUCGGCGAGUCCUCGCCAUGCAGUCAAUCCGCUGCCUCCUGUAUUUCGCAUGAUUUCGAAGUAUAUAGAUAUAGGGCUUCCUGGACUUUCACAUAUACUAUUACAGGGGUUUUUAACACUUAUAACAACAAUAUAAUCCAACUAACCCUUAAUUGGGUUUCCUAAACCCUAAACUCGCAUACAACGUAAAAGUUACAGAUUUCGAUCCGAAGAUUACCUGGAAACGUGUUCCCUGUGUCUCCAAACCUCCAGUACUCGAUUCCUUUGAUCACCACCUUGCUCCUCCUUGUCUAACAAUCUCUUCAAGCCUUCUCAAGUCCUCUCUCUUGCUUCAGAUGCUCACACACUCCCAGGGGAUCUUCAACCGGCCAAAAGACGCGACAUGACGGCCAUAAGAUCGUUAUAUACGAUCAGAAAUGAAACGGCUAGGGUUCAGCUGAACGGCGUCGACUCGCCGAGUCCCUUAUUGGACUCGUCGAGUCCAGUCGCGCGUCUGCGACCAAGACCAUGGCCCUACUCGGCGAGUCGUGCACCAACUCGCCGAGUCCCCUCCUAAAUGUGCCCCAAAAAUAAUUUAAAGAAAUACCUGAAAUUCCGGGCUGUUACAACUCUCCCCCACUAGAACUAGACUUCGCCCUCGAAGUCUCUCAUUCUGCGAAUAACUCCGGAUGUUGCUCCCGCAUUUCUCUUUCCGGCUCCCAAGUCAUCUCCGAUCCCUUCCGAUGUUGCCACUGAACCAACACCAGAGGUAUUUCCUUGUUCCGUAGAACCUUGAUCUUCCGAUCCCUGAUAGCUACUGGUCUCUCGGCGUAAUUCAGACUCGCAUCUACCUGGAUAUCUUCUAACGGAACCACUGCUGCCUCAUCGGCUAUACACUUCCUCAGCUGUGAUACGUGGAAGGUAUUGUGAAUCUGAUUCAGCUCCGCUGGCAACUCCAACCGAUAAGCUACCCGACCUACCCUUGCAAUUACCCGAAAUGGACCUAUGAACCGGGGCCCCAAUUUGCCCCUCUUCCUGAACCGAAUCACCCCUUUCCAAGGAGAAACCUUUAGGAGAACGAAGUCGCCGACCUGGAAUUCGAGCUCGGACCGGCGUCUGUCCGCAUAACUCUUCUGUCGGCUCUGGGCGGUCAAUAACCUCUGCCUCACCCGUUGGAUCUGUUCAGUCGUUUGAAGUACGAUCUCUGUACUGCCCAUCACUCUCUGUCCCACUUCUCCCCAGCAAAUGGGAGUCCGACACCUCCUACCAUACAACAACUCAAAAGGUGGCAUACCAAUGCUCGAAUGAUGGCUGUUGUUGUAGGAAAACUCAGCCAGCGGCAGAUGCGCAUCCCAGCUACCCCCGAAGUCUAACACACACGCUCUAAGCAUAUCUUCCAAUGUCUGGAUCGUCCGCUCGCUUUGACCGUCGGUCUGGGGAUGGUAUGCGGUACUAAAAUGCAGUUUAGUACCCAACUCCUCAUGGAAUUUCUUCCAGAACCUGGAAGUGAAACGUACAUCGCGGUCCGAAACAAUCGAGGUCGGCACUCCAUGCCGAGAUACUAUCUCUCUCACGUACAACUCCGCCAACUUCUCUGCUGAUGAACUUUCACUAAUGGCAAGGAAAUGUGCACUCUUUGUUAGUCUAUCCACAAUCACCCAAAUCGCAUCGACUCCCCUGGCAGUUUUCGGCAAUUUGGUGAUGAAAUCCAUCGUGAUCUGAUCCCACUUCCACUCAGGGAUCUCCAAGGGUUGCAACUUACCGUGCGGUCUCUGGUGCUCGGCCUUAACUUUACGGCAGGUCAAACACCUCUCCACGAACCACGCAACGUCUCUCUUCAUGCAAGGCCACCAGUACUCCUUUUUCAAAUCCAGAUACAUUUUCGUAGCACCGGGAUGGAUCGAGAAUUUCGAUCUAUGUGCCUCCUCCAUCAAAAUGACACGCGUACCGCCCACGAAUGGCACCCAGAUCCGACCCUGAAAUGUCAGAAGUCCCCGCCCAUCCGUAACGAACUCUGAAAUUAACCCGACGACCCGCUCCUGUUUCUGCAUCCCAGACUUCACAACCUCGGCCUGUGCCCCACGAAUAGUAUCUAAUACCGGAGUCACCACCGUCAAUCUCAAACAUACGUCCCGCAAUGGAGUACCCUCCGCCCUACGACUCAAUGCAUCGGCUACCACAUUAGCCUUGCCUGGGUGGUAUAGGAUCUCACAGUCAUAAUCCUUAACCACGUCUAACCAUCUCCUCUGGCGCAUGUUUAGGUUGGGUUGAUCCAUCAAAUACUUCAAACUCUUAUGGUCCGUGUAUAUGGUACAACGAACCCCGUACAGGUAGUGACGCCAAAUUUUGAGGGCGAACACUACUGCCCCCAACUCUAAGUCAUGCGUGGGAUAUCUCGCUUCGUGAGGCUUCAGCUGCCUCGAUGCAUAGGCUAUCACAUGGCCCCUCUGCAUCAACACUGCACCCAGUCCUGAAAUCGAUGCGUCGCAAUAUACGACGAAGUCCUCCAUCCCUUCAGGAAGGGCUAAUACUGGUGCUUCGCACAGUCUCUGACGAAGUGUCUCGAAGGAAGUCUGCUGCUCGGGUCCCCAUGAGAAUGUAACACCCUUUCGGGUCAAUUUGGUAAGUGGCACUGCGAUCUUGGAGAAGUCCCUAAUGAACCUUCGAUAGUACCCUGCCAACCCAAGGAAACUCCUGAUCUCCGAAGGUGACUUUGGUGCCUCCCAUCUCAUCACCGCCUCCACCUUGGCCGGAUCGACCAAUAUCCCUGCCUGAUUUACAACGUGCCCCAGAAAUUGAACCUCCCGUAACCAGAAGUCACAUUUGGAGAAUUUUGCAUAUAGCUUCUCCGACCUCAGUACCUCAAGGACCUCCCUCAAAUGUCCCUCAUGCUGCUCCCUAGACCGCGAAUACACCAGAAUGUCGUCGAUGAAUACAAUCACAGACCGAUCCAGCAUCGGCCUGCAUACCCUGUUCAUGAGAUCCAUGAACACUGCUGGGGCAUUGGUGAGCCCAAAAGGCAUCACCACGAACUCGUAAUGCCCAUACCGCGUCCUAAAGGCUGUCUUCUGGACGUCCUCAUCCCGCACCCUUACCUGAUGGUACCCUGAUCUCAAAUCAAUCUUGGAAAACCAAGAUGCCCCUUGCAACUGAUCGAAUAGAUCAUCGAUUCUUGGUAACGGAUAGCGGUUCUUAACUGUCACCUUGUUCAGUUCCCGGUAAUCGAUACACAUCCGGUGUGAACCAUCCUUCUUCUUGACGAACAGAAUCGGUGCUCCCCACGGCGAGCUACUCGGCCGAAUAAAUCCCUUCCCCAACAACUCUUGAAGUUGCGAGGACAAUUCUUGCAUCUCUGGAGGUGCAAGACGAUAAGGCACCUUCGCAAUAGGCGCCGCCCCUGGAACUAGGUCGAUACCAAACUCCACUUGCCUCGCAGGAGGUAUUCCCGGCAAAUCCUCGGGGAAAACAUCUGGAAACUCGCGCACCACUGGAACCUCCUUCAAUGUCUUCGGUCUCUCGGAACUCUCCCGCGUAUCCAUCACAUACGCCACAAAACCGUUACAUCCCCGCUGUAGGCAUUGCCUCGCCCUAGCAGCCGAACAAAAAGCUGAUCUCGAACGGGUACCCUCGCCGUACACCGUAAGAACUCCCCCACUAGGGUCUCGUAUAGUCACCAACUGACGCUCGCAGUCGAUGACAGCGCUGAAUCGGCUCAACCAGUCCAUGCCUACAAUGACACAGACAUCACCCAUCGCAAUAGGAAUUAGGUCAAUCGGAAAUGCGACCCCGAAGAUCUCUAGCACACAUCCCCGAAAAACCUCCGUAGCACAAAUCACCCUCUCAGCCGCAAUGGAAACGCUCAAAGGCCGACUUAACGGCUCACGACUAAUGCCGAUGUGCUGACUAAAAGCUAACGAUACAAACGAUCUACUCGCACCCGAAUCAAAUAAUACUAGAGCAGGCAUAGAGUUCACAAGGAAAGUACCUACACAUAUAUUAACAUAAGCAUAACAUUUCGACCUUUAAUUAAAUACAUGAAAGAUAACAUACCUGCCACAACAUCGGGCGCAGCGCGGACCUCCUCCGCAGUCAGCUGAAAGGCUCUCCCGCGAGCCCUCGGGGCCUCGACCUUCACCGGUCGGGUCUCAGUAGUCCGGGUAGUAGGUGUAGCUCCCUGACGAAGUUGCGGGCACUCGGCCUUCCGAUGGCCUGUCUGGUUGCAGUGAAAGCAAACCAUAAACCCCUUAGGGCAAUCCCUGGCAAUAUGUCCCUCCUUGCCACACUUGUAGCAACCACCAGCUCGACACGCCCCCUCGUGACUCUUGCCGCACUUCGCGCAAGUGCGACCCUUCGAACCUCCCAUCCUCGAAUCAGCGAACUUAGUCCGCUUGGCUGCCGGCUGAGACUGGGCCGGCCGUCGAUCCACCUGCCGAGACUCAGCCUCCUCCCUCGCUUGAGUCUCCAACUCAAUCUCGCGCUUCCUGGCGUUCGCCUGAAGCUCAGUGAAAGUACGAUAGGUGGAGUUUGACACAAACUCCCGAAUCUCCCUCUUCAAAACACCCAAAUAGCGGCUCAUCCGCGACUGCUCCGUAGAUACCAGCUCGGGGCAGAACAUUGCCCUCUCAUGAAACUUCCGUGUGAUCACUGCCACGGAAUCAGUACCCUGCUUAAGGGUCAAGAACUCCUGAAUCAAUCGCUCCCUCUCUACCGGGGGAACGUACUCAUCCCUGAACAUCUCCGUAAACCUCUCCCAUGUCACCGCCGUAAUCUCUGCCUGAGUGAAGUUCGCCGUCACGAACUUCCACCAAUCCUUCGCUCCCAGACGGAGCUGGUUCAAGGCGAACCGUACCCUCAAGUGCUCCGGGCAUGAGCAAGUAUAGAAGCACCCCUCGAUGUCGGCGAUCCACCUCAUAGCUGCAAUCGGAUCCUGCGUCCCAUCAAAUUCAGGGGGUUUCGUGUUGCUGAAUUCCCUGAAUAGUAAUGAAUCACCCCCUUGCGGCCUGGCAGCAGCCACCGCUGCGGUAGCGGCAGCAACUGCAGCUUCAGUAAUUGCGGCGCACCGCUCCUCAAACUCCUCCAUCAACGUGGUCUUAAUAGACCCAAACAUCUCCGGGAUCUCAGCCCGGACCGCCGCAGCUACCUCUUCCUGAAUAAUCUGACGAAUCUCCUCGUCACUCGCACCGCUCGAACUCGCCCCAUUGCGUGUGAUAACCAUGAUGUCUCUGAAAUACAACAUAAAAUCAUCAGAGACUCCACCAAGUACAAUUGUACUCGAUACGCGCCCUACCCAGUCUCCGAUUUCCAGGGAUUCUUAUUUGAGUCUUCCACUGAUCCGGUGCCUUCGAUAGUACGGGCCCAAUACUACCGACCACACCGUAUCAGUAUUCGUCCCAAAUCUUCCUCCCCAAAUCCCGAAUAACGAGUACUCUACUUCUAGUAUGCACUAUUUACUUGCACGCUACCAAAUAUCUCAUAUAAGCAAUCUCCCUAGACUAAGGCAUCACAAAACAGGCAAUUCUAUUCCUAUCAUGUAUACCUAGUCUUCUAGCAUGCAUAACAAUUCAUAAUUCAGUGCAUAACAUAACAUCGUAAGGUAUUCUGGGGAUCUUUACCGUUCGGACGCUGGCUGCUCGUACACACUGUUCCACCCUUGUUUUUACCGCCUUGCCCUUUAUAAAAUGUUAUGUCCUUAUUAUUUUUAAGAAAAAGUUUUUCCUCAAAUCCCCGGUCUGAGUUCAGUUGCACCCAAAAGUACACCCGAAUCCCUCAAACCAAGGCUCUGAUACCAAUUGUAACAGCUCAAAUUUUCAAAUAAAUUUUUCGUUAAAAACAAAACAUCAUUAUUCGACAAAAGGGUUUAUUCCAAGUUUGUUUCAAAAUAUAAAUAAUAAAUCUCCAGGAUCUUCAACAGUGGCAGUGUGUACGUGUCACGCCGGCGCCUUCCCACGGUCAUCACUAGUACCUGAAAAACAUAAACACAACUAGUAAGCAUAAAUGCUUAGUGAGUUCCCCAGUAUACGACUUACCCACAUACGCCUUCCGGCCCGGACCUUUCGGUCCACAUAACAUUGCCUUCCGGCCCGGACCUUUCGGUCCACAAUAUAUAUCGCCUUCCGGCCCGUAUUAGAUUGCCUUCCGGCCCAUAGCAUUUUGCCUUCCGGCCCAUGAUAGUAUAAAACAUAACACAUGUAACAUAAUACUCAUAACACAUAAAUCAUACAUCAUACCGUUCUUUCUAUCACAUAAAGUCUCGCCUUCCGGCCCGUAUAAGCAUACAUCACAUAUAAGCACACAUCACAUAUAAAGCAUCUACCUCUCUAGACAUAGCAUGAAUAUAACACACACGACCUUCCGGUCUAACAGUCAAACCCUUCCGGGUGAAGUAUAGUGAGAAGACUCACCUCGUAGUACGCAGGCUAUAACCUCUUCGAGCUACUCGC
rnacentral:lncRNA from 1 species